AUUGAAUUAGUGUGUAAAUGUUUGAGAUGACAGCUACAAUAUAAGAAUUUUAAUUUGAGGAAUUUCGGUUUAUCCGUAACUACUUGAAUUAACUCGCAUUAAAAGUGUCAACUUCCUUAUUUACUUUUAUGUAAAAGGAAGGGGACAUAAACAUUAACAGUAAAGUACCAGUACCUUACAUUCCGCAUAUCAAUAUGACAAAUUUUCGGGUGUGUGACCCAAUACAUAUAUCUUGUGGUUAUGUAAAAACUAGAUUUAACGGUCAACAUGAACAAUUCAGGCUAGGAAACGUACUGUUACUGGAAACAAGACACACUUCUAAAAGACUUGGGAAUGAAGAAAGUUCUUCAGAGAUUUCUAAAGCAAAUUUAAAAACACCAUCAAUUAUAUGAAAAGGGAAAGAAAAUGUGAAGCUCUAUCAAAAAAAUGCUUUCAGUCAAUGUCAAGUUUAGAAAAGAAAACCAUUUGUGAUGAGAAACAUUAUCAGGGAUGUAUAUCCAAAAUGGUUAGUAGAUGUUGAAAAACCACAGGCUGAUGCUGAUCUGACCAUUGGUAGGCAGACAAUCACAGAUAAUUAUGCAAAAACAGCACUGAUGCCAAGGCUGUGAAAAAGAUGACUGAGGGGUUACUUUAUAAGGGGAAGCAUUCACUAAAAUAUCUAAUUUACAACUAUAAGAUAAAAUACUGAAGGAAAAGACACCCAUGUGACCACAUGUAGAGAGAUAUUGGUUUAAAUCCAAAUAUUAUUUAAUAACAUUAAGUCAUCAAAAUUGGACUUGGCAUUAUGUUUCCACAAUAAAGUAGAAUAUAGAAAUUAUAUUCAGGAAUGAAAACUUACUGUUAAAAAAAAAUCAUGAAUUUUAAUAGAACAAGGUUUAAAUGUGUGUUAUGAAAGAAUACAUUUUUGAUGUAAUUUUAUGUAUAAAUAGUGUUUCAUAUUUAAUCACAUAAUUUUUUUAAUAUAUUUUUCUCUUUCAAUUGUAACAUUGAUAAAAAUGUUGAAAUAGGAGGCAAUAUUGGUUAGAU